UACGGAGGGGGCUAGCGUUGUUCGGAAUUACUGGGCGUAAAGCGCACGUAGGCGGCUUUGUAAGUUAGAGGUGAAAGCCCAGGGCUUAACCCUGGAAUUGCCUUUAAGACUGCAUCGCUAGAAUUGUGGAGAGGUAAGUGGAAUUCCGAGUGUAGAGGUGAAAUUCGUAGAUAUUCGGAAGAACACCAGUGGCGAAGGCGGCUCACUGGUCCAUUACUGACGCUGAGGUGCGAAAGCGUGGGGAGCAAACAGGG
rnacentral:rRNA from 1 species